GAUGAACGCUGGCGGCGUGCCUAAUACAUGCAAGUCGAGCGAACGGACCAGAAGCUUGCUUCUCUGAUGUUAGCGGCGGACGGGUGAGUAACCCGUGGAUAACCUACCUAUAAGACUGGGAUAACUUCGGGAAACCGUAGCUAAUACCGGAUAAUAUUUUGAACCGCAUGGUUCAAACGUGAAAGACGGUAUUGCUGUCACUUAUAGAUGGAUCCGCGCUGCAUUAGCUAGUUGGUAAGGUAACGGCGUACUAAGGCAACGAUGCAUAGCCGACAUGUCAGGGUGAUCGGCCACACUGGAAGUGAGACACGGUCCAGACGCCUACGGGAGGCAGCAGUAGGGAAUCGGCCGCAAGGGGCGAAAACCUGACGGAGCAGCGCCGCGUGAGUGAUGAAGGUCUUCGGGUCGGAAAACUCGGUUAUUAGGGAAGAACAUAUGUGUAAGUAACUGUGCACAUCUUGACGGGACCUGAUCAGAAAGCCACGGCUAACUACGUG
rnacentral:rRNA from 1 species